AUUUGCACCGGAAUCUCAAAACCGCCACCACCUUUCUUCCCAUCUCCGCCGCCACCACCACCACCGGCUUUGAAACCAUUCAUCAUCAUCAUCAUCUCAUUAGGUCCCUUAGCUCCACCACCACCACCCAUCUUGUUAGGCAUCAUCAUCAUCUUAUUAGGAGGCAUGUGAUGAUUACCACCUCCUCCUCCUCCAUGACCAUGACCAUGUCCUCCUCCCAUAUCAUCAUCGUCCUCCUCAUCAUCGAAAUCCUCAUCAUCAUAAUCAUCCUCACUGAACUCAUCAUCGUAAUCAUCGUCACUAAACUCAUCGUCCUCCUCUUCAGCAAACUUAACAGACUUCUUCUGAUCCUUGGACGCCACAGGAGGCAUCAUCAUCUUCAUAUCCUUCCCGCCACCACCACCACCACCACCACCUUGAGCUUGAGCCGCCUUCAUCAUCAUCAUCUGUUGCAUCUGCUGAGGUGUCAACUGCAUUGGUUGACCUCCCCCACCACCACCACCACCUUGAGCUUGAGCAGCUUUCAUCAUCAUCAUCUGUUGAAUCUGCUGAGGAGUCAAUUGCAUUGGUUGACCUCCACCACCACCACCACCACCAUUAGGUUUCCCUUUGCUCUCUUUUCCACCUUUCCCGUUCAUACUGAGAUUACCAAACUGCCCAUUCAGAUUAGGAAACCCUUUUCCUCCUCCUCCACCUCCACCUCCGCCACCGCCUCCUCCGCCUAUGAUCUCGGCGUGUUUCCCUGAUUUGCUAAGUUUCUUAACGAGAAUAGCUGGGUCAACGUUUCCUGUGACAGUGACUUUCCCUUGUUCCACAUCUGCUUUAACAGAGUACACCCCUGUUGUCAAAACAAGAAACCAAACCAUGUCAGAAUCUUCCCAACACAUUGACAUAACCACGGUAAAAAUCUCAAAGCUUUGAACUUUGUGGUUAAAUUUAGGAACUUUUUAUGUGUUGAUGUAAUUUUUUAAAACAUUAACAUUAGAAAAAAAAAAUAGCCCAGUGGGUAAAUCUUAAGACUUUGGACUUAAUUGUUUUAGAAAAUUAGUACUUUUUUGAUGUGAGAGAUGAGAGAAUAUUUUACACAUACAGGAAAACAAUUUCAAAACUUUUAUAUGUUUGAGCUGAAAACUUCAAAAUUUAACAGAUCCAUGGCUUCUGAGAGAGAAACUCACUUCAUAUAUAUCUCUGAGAGCUAUAUUUAAUUAAGACUAGCUUCAACAGAGUAACAAUUCAAAUGAGCAAGAAGAACACACACACACCUUCGAUUUUCUGCAACUGUUUCCUCACUUUAUGCUUACAUCCUUCACAGUGUACGUUCACUUUCAGAACACAUGUCUGCCAAAAAUUUAAAUCCCAGUAAAUACAGAGUUAGCACGGUAAUAUAAUCCAAUCUUGGAGGGAGAGAGACAUAGAAGAGAAGGAGACGUAUA
rnacentral:lncRNA from 1 species